rnacentral:tRNA from 1 species
GCCUGGGUGGCUCAGUCGGUUGAGUGUCUGACUUCAGCUCAGGUCAUGAUCUUAAAGUUCGUGGGUUCAAGUCCCGUGUCAGGCG